CACAUACUCCCUCCGUCCAAAAAUACUUGUCAUCAAAAUGGAUAAAAAAGAAUGCAUCUAGAACUAAUAUACAUCUAGAUACAUCCUCUUUUAUUCAUUUUGAUGACAAGUAUUUCUGGACGGAGGUAGUACCUC
rfam:Triticum aestivum genome assembly, contig: Triticum_aestivum_CS42_TGACv1_scaffold_404361_5BL